rnacentral:lncRNA from 1 species
UUUUGUUUGAAUUUCAAUUUGGCUGUUAUUAUUUUUUUUAAAAAAAUAUUGAGUAAUUUUACUUUGUCUCAGGAAUUAACUCUAUCGAUAGCAUCAAGUGCUUGGUGCUAUCAAGUUUUCCACCGUUAGAUUUAACCCUUUAACUAUUUUUACCCGUUAAAUUAUAUUAUUAAACUAAUAACUCACUUAACUCUAGAGGGCCCACAUCAUCAUAACCGUACAUUUUUUCAUCUAAGGGCUGAAAACCUAAUAGCACCAAUAGGUUGGUGCUAUUGAUAGUAUUCCAGCCUAGAGGUAUAUAUAUAUAUAUAUAUAUAUAGAGAGAGAGAGAGAGAGAGAGUUGAGCUAGAAUACUCUCAAGAGCACCAAGGGAGUGGUGCUUUUGAGUUUUUAGCUAUUGGAUGGAGAGAUGUAGGGUUGAGAUGAUGGGGUAGGUGGUGGUAAGUGGUGGUAGGUGGAAUAGUGUUUGGUCCAAAGGUUAUUAGUAAUCAGGGAGUAGAUCCAAGGGCGAGAAACUCAAAAGCACCAAGGGGUUGGUGCUUUUGAGAGUAUUCUAGCUCAAUUUUAUAUAUAUAUAUAUACUUCAAUACACUAUAUAAAUCUUGAUCAUUUAUUUUUCUUAAUAGAUGGUUUAAAUUUAAUAUGACUCUAGA